GGCAAGAGCUGGAAAAGAAAAGGAACUUCAGUUCAAGCGGAAACAGAGAGAGUUGGUUGGCCAGGGACACAAACCGUUCUACCUAAAGAAAUCUGACAGGAAGAAGCUGGAAUUGGCUGAGAAGUACAGCGAGCUGAAAAGAGCGGGAAACUGGAGAACUUCUUGAGUAAGAAGAGGAAGCGUAACGCCACCAAAGAUCGCAAAAAGUUGCCCAGUCAGCACAAGAGACGCCAAAUAUGGACCAAUCCUGGCUCAUCUGUGGCACCUUGAGUUGUUUAUUUGUCUGAGUGUGACAAAAUGCUGAAGAACGUCUGUUAAAAAAGUAAAUCCUGCUGGACUAUGAUGUUAAAAGCAGACUUGGGAUGUACAUUUCACCUACAUUUGCAGAGUCAUGGAUUAAGACGUGUUUUCUUAACAGGUUCGACAUUUAAAGAUGCUUAUCUCAAAUAUCCAUUUUCUUUUGUUGUUUAAUUAUGUUUUGAGCAUUUUCUCAAAAUAAAUCUUAAAUGUAU